GACGAACGCUGGCGGCGUGCUUAACACAUGCAAGUCGAGCGGUAAGGCCCUUUCGGGGGUACGACGAGCGGCGAACGGGUGAGUAACACGUGGGUGACCUGCCUUUAGCUCUGGGAUAAGCCUGGGAAACUGGGUCUAAUACCGGAUACGACUCCGCGGUGCAUGCUGUGGGGUGGAAAGCCUUGUGCGGCUGGAGAUGGGCCCGCGGCCUAUCAGCUUGUUGGUGGGGUGAUGGCCACCAAGGCGACGACGGGUAGCCGGCCUGAGAGGGCGACCGGCCACACUGGGACUGAGACACGGCCCAGACUCCUACGGGAGGCAGCAGUGGGGAAUCUUGCGCAAUGGGCGAAAGCCUGACGCAGCGACGCCGCGUGAGGAU
rnacentral:rRNA from 1 species